UACGGGGGGGGCAAGCGUUGUUCGGAAUUACUGGGCGUAAAGGGCGCGUAGGCGGCCUUCUAAGUCGGACGUGAAAUCCCUCGGCUUAACCGAGGAACUGCGUCCGAUACUGAAAGGCUUGAAUCCGGGAGAGGGAUGUGGAAAUUCCAGGUGUAGCGGUGAAAUGCGUAGAUAUCUGGAGGAACACCGGUGGCGAAGGCGGCAUCCUGGACCGGCAUUGACGCUGAGGCGCGAAAGCGUGGGGAGCGAACAGGA
rnacentral:rRNA from 1 species